CCCCCCCCAAAGGCUCCUGGGUGCCCAUCAACAUCACUGGCCAUACGGACUCCGUUUCCCACACCAAGAGCCUUUUAGGAUGCAUUGAUUUCUCCGUGCUCCUACCCACUGGCUCUUCCUUAAACGAGUGCGGUAAUUAGGCUCCUCUACAUUUUUCCUCUCCAUCCCUGAAAUCGAUCACCGGAAGUGGAACGACACAAAGCCUUCAUGGGAUGGUGGCAAUUCUGCGUGAUUGCGAGAAAAAUGAUUUUGGGCAUUAGCAAAAAAAAAAAAAAAAAAAAAAGCAUUUGAUUCAUUGGUUUUCAGAGACUGACAAUGAGCCUUUCGUCAGUUUAAAAAGCCCAUUUUUACGAUAAAGGGGAGAAGCAAAAAGUAAGAAAGAGGAAAGGACAUCAGCGACAGGGAGCCCCGAGACGCGAGUUAAGCGGAAUCACAGAAAGGUCCAGAAGAGACGCCACCGCUGCUCAUCUGCCUCGUCGCAUUUGCUGCAGGACUGAUUCAAAACACAGCUGCCUGUCUACUCUUUAACUUGCACCAGAAGAAGCACGUCUGUUUCUCCCGAUGGCUCGGUGUUGGUUCCGGCACAGCCGGCGGCUCAGGAAGUUACCUGCAGGACAUCGGCAACCCUCACACACCUGCCGGAUGUCUACGGUCAUCAGUGACGUGAUCGGAGCUUCACGGGAAUCAAAGAUGUACCAAUAUAUUCAGCAAUAGAACAACUUCUCAAAGAGGACUCACAACAGAACCCACGUUUCUCAGAAUGAUCAGCUGUCGGGGCCUUUAACUGCAAAGCUGCCACAGCGUUUUAAAGGAGGGAGUUCUUUUUAGUAUUAUUUGCCUUGCAGAAUUUCAUAUUUUACAUCAUUACUCAAUAAUUUAGAAAGAGAAAAAAAGAAGGAACUUUAUAACAGAUUUCCCCCCCCCCCCAAACCAAUAACAUCAUGGUGCCCCCCACACCAUCUUGCACUGUCACCUGUGAAACAUUGUGACAGCACCCCCAAUUGGCAGGGCAACGCUCCCCGCUGUUCAGUCAGGAAGAUGCGUCCAAGGGGGUUGUUAGCACGCUGGACUGCCGUCACUUACAGCUAAGGAAACUCUGCCGGAUGGCCCUCUGGCUUCUCCGCGGACACCCACCCCGGCUUCUCACUGGAAGUACCGUGUUAGCAGACAUAAAGCUCAGGAUGGAGAUCUUUGAGGUCUCCCAUAGGGGUCAAGAAGCAUGGCGUGUGAUGCCUGUUCCGACCUUUAACAGCAAGCUUGACGCUCAGUGUGUCAGCAGUGAUUUACCCCAGGCUUUCAGGCGAAUUAAACAUGGAGCUUCCUGCGUUUAACCACAAUUACCCCGACUGACAGUUAAUUAUGCCUCACGUUUGCAGUCAAGGCAUUUCAACCAUCUGAAAUAUCACUCCUAUCCAGUGCAAUUAGUGGAUUGUA